UUAGGAAUAUUCGUCAAUGGGGGAAACCCUGAACGAGCAAUGCCGCGUGAGUGAUGACGGUCUUUAUGAUUGUAAAACUCUGUUGUAAGGAAAGAACCCUUAUCAUAGGAAAUGAUGAUAAGUUGACGGUACCUUACCAGAAAGCCCCGGCUAACUACGUGCC
rnacentral:rRNA from 1 species